ARAAACAUAGCUUAAAGACGKKKUUKWURAGUGACCUCUGCCCGGUGAAUUUUUUUUAACGGCCGCAGUACUCUGACUGUGCUAAGGUAGCAUAAUAAAUUGGCUUUUAAUUGGAGUCUAGAAUAAAUGGGGUUUCGAAAAUAAUCUGUCUCAUUUUAAGAAUUUAAAAUUAUUUAUAAGGUGAAAAUACCUUAAAAUUGAAAAUAGACGAGAAGACCCUAUGAGUUUUUAGAAAAGAUAUUUAUUUUAUUCUUUUUACUGGGGCGGUAAAGAAUCAAAAAACAUUCUUUUAAAUCAAGAGUUACUAGAAAAAUAAACUACCUUAGGGAUAACAGCAUAAUUUUCUUUUUAGCUUGUGACCUCGAUGUUGGACUAGGAAAUUUUAGGAAAAGCAGUCCUAAAAAAUGGUUCUGUUCGAASUAAUUCUCCUASAUGAUUSU
rnacentral:rRNA from 1 species